GGUUGGUUUAACCGCUUCUGUCAGAAACGGUUGUUGCAUUUGAGCGAAUUCGUUGCCAGAAUUCUCGCACAAAUCGCGCAAAAUGCUCGCAGAAACUCUGUCAGCAUCAAUUUCGCUUUGUUCAACUUUUGCUAACUUUCUGCUUGCCACGCAGACCGGGCGGUGGCUGAUAAUAUUGGGUCUUCCCUAUAUUUCUAAGUACUUCGAUAACUAUGUUUCUAGAAUCAUCCAUUUCGUAAACUAGCAUUCGGUGAAAUGGAAAUCGUCAUACUGACGCUCUUCCUUUUUUCAAAUCAUCUAUCUAUUGCUUUUAACCCUUUCAUGUCCAAAGUUUUUCUAGUGCAUGCAGGGUUUCAAAACUAUUUUUCCUUGAAAAAAGUGAGGUUAAGAAACACGAAAUCUUUCUUUCAUAAAGAUAGGAGCUUCCCUCGCAGCGCUAGAAGCUGCUCAAUUUCUACCUUCUAAUGGUCAAUUCCCCUAGAAUAUUCGAUUUGAAACACAUUUUGCUUAGUGACCGCACCCCACAACCCAUAACUCUGGAAUCGGAAAUCGGAUCGAGAUGAAAUUUAAUAGCCAUUUACGGGGAUAAAACACCUUUCAUUUGAGACCAAGUUUGGUCGAAUCUCCGGGAAACAAAUGAGACUGUAAUUCUGAAUUUGGAUACUUCCGCCGGGGCUUCCGGAACCGACGAUGGUGGCCAAUGUGACCAAAGAGACUUUUAAUGGCUGUUAGUGACCUAGUACUACAAAUCUAAGUAGAUGUGGCACCAUUUUGAAAAAGUUUUCACCUUUAUACAUUACAGAAUUUUGAAAAUCGACAUUGUCUGCGUAAUCGUACUCUUCACUCUGCAAUUCCGGAACCGGAAGUCGGAUCCAUUAUAAACUUAAUAGCAGCCUAUAGGAAUGUUGUAUCUUUCAUUUGAGACUAAGUUUAUGAAAAUCGGUUCAGCCAUCUCUAAGAAAAGUGAGUGAGAUUGUGGUCACAUACACACACAGAAUUGACGGAUUGAAUCGAAUGGUAUAUGUCACUCGGGCCUCCGGGUCUCCGUUUAAAAGACGGUUUUCAGAGCAGUUUUCUAUUGAGAAAGGCAAAACGUAAAUCGUACGAAUAAGUUAUAGCAAAUAGUGGCACAUUUUAUACUUUUAUAAUUAGUGGCUCAUGUCCCUUCAGAUUUGACCGCACUUACCGCUUGAUGACGUCCCAGUUUGAUAUUUCUUUUGAGUGUUUUGAGAAAACGAAAAUCAUCAACGCAGGCCUGGAUACGGUUAAAGAAAUAUAAACAAAUUUUGGUAUCCUCGCAUCGUUGUCCGGAGCAGUUGGAUAUCAUUGUCAUCAUUACCCCCAGGGUUGAAAAAUUGAUUCGGUUCUGUGACUCCCAAUCUAAAGACUAAUGCGUGCGGCAUCGAAGAAUUUAUUCCGUGCAUUUUAGGUCGUCUUGUUUCAUACACCUAUUAAAUCUAUCUAAAGGAUGAUGAUCGAGUUGCACUUUUUGUUGCCAACGAACGGAAAACAGCGACCAGCUGCUGCAUUUGCUCCACCACCCGUUUUUUCUAAGAGAUCAGAGAUGUGUAUUUUCGCUCUGCAGUUUGUUGCUUUUAGCUAAAUAGUUGAAGAAAUUUUUCUCCUCAAAAUAUUUGAUUAUUUCUGCUGCCUCUGCACUCCUUGCUGUCGUUCGAUUCCGUUCACGUAGCUUCGACGUGCUGCCUCGUGGAUCGUGAACUCGUUGGUAGCGAGCCGCGUGGCUUGUUUCGAUAUUCCACCUGUUGCUAUGGGCCUUGGUUGCGUUUAGAUGACCUCGCAUCUGCGUGGUGACUUCAGGUAUGGUUAAGAUGAUCGGUUGUGGUAUAACGUAUAUAUAACAUUUUUUGCAGAAAACUAUUCAGUCAUGUCAAACUAAGGCUUCCAAUAGUCAACACCGGUGAAACAACGUCAUCUCGGUUAUUGACUUCAGAUACAUCGAUCAAUACGGAACAUUUGAACAAGACUGUAGCUUACCCGAGCUCCGAGCCACUACAAUUCCAUUUGACUUUAGUCAUACCGGCUGGAAUAUAAUAUAGAAUUCUGGCUGUCUAAGAGACAAGUAUUUUAAUUGUGCAUUCAUUUUUUUUUGUUUUUUGUUGAUGAUUAAUUCAUUUCAAAUAUAUUUGUAGUUGGGACUGUGUCCACAUUUGUAAUUAUGGCGCCACUGACAUAUGAGCAAGCGUAUGGGGGAUAGACCACUAGUGAAUAAUUGUUCUUAAACCUGAGGGGUAUCCACCCAUAUUGAUGAUGGUUUUAAGUGUUUUGUUACCAGCCGCCAUCUUGGAUUUCAAAAUGACGCCAAUCAUCAAUUUUCACUUUCUACUAAUUACUA